UGCAGGGAUUAAAGCCAUGCAUCACCACAGCCAGUCACAGGGUAACUUGUGCUUGGAAACACCGUUCUGGAUACUGAUGGAUAAUCUGACAUAAAAUCCACUCCUAUUUACUACACCUGGGAAGCGUGCAGAAGUGCAUUCCAGGAACAAAUCCAUAUCAUGGAGGAACAGAGGUUACAAGGCUCUUGUUUUGUUUGCUUGGAGUUUUCUCACAAGGUCUCAGAAAUCUCCCCAUACAGCUUCAAUCACAGACUGUGUUCUGACAGGUGAGUAGUUUGAUGCUAGCCUGGGCUACAUAGCAAGACUCUUGACUCGACAACAAAAACCAACACCAGAUUGUAGACCUAUGGGCUCUGGUUAGCUUGUUUGAUUUUUUUUUUUUAAAUAAUUUUACUUUAAAACACCAUUUACCUUGGGCCAGAAAGAUAGAUCAGCAGUAAAGACACUUGCCUCCCAAGCCUGGAGGACCAAGUUUGGUCUCUAGAACCGGCAGAAGGGGUGGAAGGAGAGACCUGACUUCACAGAGUUGUCUCUGUCCUACAUAUGUGUGGUGUCACACAUGCCCCACCCCCAUAAAUCAUACAAACUCAUGAUGGUAAUAAAUUUUAAAGUAUUAAAUUACUACAUAGCUGGAUUACUGGGAGGUUUUCGGCACCCUCCAAGAAGACUCUGUGCCAACGCAAGUGCUUUCCUUGUCCUGUCCUGGACUGACUUGUUUGCACAACCAGACCAGCACAGUACCUAGAAGUGUGCUACGUGUUUUUGUAGUUGGAUGAAUAGAUGGAAGGAAGGGAAAAGGACUCCAACCUGGGAAUGUGAACGCUCCAAUCCAGGCUCUACCACUAUCUAUGUGUCCAAGAAUGUCCUCUAACUGCUGUCAGCCUCACUCUUCUCGUGUGCAAAACACAUUGUUGACCCGUUCUUUCUACAAACAUGGCAACAUCCAUAGACACAGUUGUGGAUCAAACAUGGAGAGAGGACCCCUGCUGUCUCCUUGCCCUGGCGGCAGCCUCUUACUGAUGUGUAACAGUUUCCUCUGAGAUUAAAACAUUCCAUCCUCUAGGGGUGCUCCUCAGGCAAGGAGGUAAACAAUUAAAAAACAGCUUCAGGAACUCCCUGAAACUGACCAGAUUGAGUAGGCUCCUCCCUCCCAGAGUAAACAAAGUGGCAAGUCCCUUUUAGAAGAAGCAAAGCCUAGCAGCACAGAAGACUCACAGUGGAAAAGAGACUGAGACCAGACCUGCUGCCUGAGAGAAGCAGAAACCAGCCUGCUUGCCUGGAAGAAAUUUAAAGCGACUAAGGCACCUGGAAGGGACAUUCUCCUAGCUGUUUUUACAGUGUAACGUGCUCCAGGUUUUCUGGCUUUUCUGAGCUGUCACCCACCCUGGGGUGGACUUUGGUGAUGCAGCUGUCUUUGAGUCAUUUCUGCUCCUUUAAGUAACCCCAAUAAAACUUAUUGGUUCAUCAAGUUGGACUCUGGUGGUACCAGUACUUUGGUCUAUCAUGGGUUCCCUACUUGGGGUGAUGAGACAAAUGUGUUUCCUCUCCUCAGAAAAAGUUUUGUCACACGACACUUGCAUUUGAGCAAAUCUAGGCAUUUCCCCGUGUUGCAUUAUGCGUUUGGGCACUGUUGUGAUGUUUACAGGGGAGAGGUAAAUGUCAUACGCUCUUUGCCCUAAGACCCCUCCACACUCAAAGAUGGAACAGCGUUCAUAUUUCUUAUAAAUAGGUCACUACAAGGAUGAACUGCACAUGGAUGCUGGGCUAUGGGUCCGGCUUUCUGCUAGGACUGCAACUGUAUGGGAACACUUCCUGGCUGCAUGUUGUCUGAAACUGACUUAACCUCUCCUGGAUAGGAAUGAUAGCUAGUGGCUCCCCUCACCCCGUUGUUGGAAGGUGACAGAUGGCUGUGUGAUCUGAACUCAGCCUUCAUGGAGAGCCCAUAGGCUUCCUGACAGCGUUGGUUGUGUCUGCUUUCACUCCUUCCCUCUGUCCAUCACCCCAGAAAUACUUUUAUUUUUUAAAAAAAGAACAAGAACAAAUUGUUCUGUUGUUGUUUUUUUUUUAAAAGACUUUUUAAAAAAUUAUUUAUAUGAGUACACUGCAGCCGUCUUCAGACACACACCAGAGAGGGCAUCAGAUCCCAUUACAGAUGGUUGUGAGCCACCAUGUAGUUGCUGGGAAUUGAACUCAGGACCUCUGGAAGAGCUGUCAGUGCUCUGAAACACUGAGCCAUCUCUCCAGCCCCAGAAACAGUUUUUUGUUUGUUUUUUUUGGGCUUUUGGUUUUGGUUUUUUGUUUUUGUUUUUUGUUUUUUGUUUUUUGUUUUUUGUUUUUUUGAGACAGAAUUUCUCAGUGUAGCCCUGGCAACUCUGGAAUUCACUCUGUAGACCAGGUUAUCCUUGAACUCAAAAUUUGCUUAAAAGCAUAUGCUACCACUGCCUGACUCCAGAAACAGUACUUUUAACUGGAAUGUGGUCCCUGCCAGGAGAAUUGGCAGCAAACUCGUGAAGUUUAGCUGAGGAUGGUAGUUUAGCCUGGUCAUAAUAGUUCAUGCCUAUAAUGGUCAUAAUGGUUCAUGCCUAUAAUUUUAACACUAGGGAGCCUGAGGCAGGAGGAUUGUGAGUUCAAAGUGAGACAGGGCUACCCAGGGAAACCUUUAUUUAAAAUGGGGGAUGGCAGUAGCUUAAAAUGAAGAGCGUGAAAAGGAAUUUCAGGAGCUGGGGAAAUAACAGAACUUGGAUUUGGGGUGCUUUCUACAUCAUUGAAAACAAUAACUCUUGGAAACUUCAGUCAGGGGCAGGAGAGAUGGGCAGGUGCACACUUGUUCACGAAGAAGACCUGGGUUCUAUUCCAAGCAUCCACAUGGUGGUUUACAGCCAUCCAUAACUCCAGUUCCAGGGCAUUCGAAGUUCUCUUCUGACAGUAUGUAUGACAGCACACUCACAUACACGCCAGCAAAACAUUCAUGAAUAAUAAUAACAAUAACAACAACAGCAAUAAUAAUAAUAAAUGCCAGCUUGAUGGUGGUGUCACAUGGCUUUAAUCCUAGCAUUUUGAGUCAGAGGUAGACAGAUCUCUGUGAGUUCGAGCCCAGGUCUACAGAGCAAGUUCCAGGACAGCCAAGGCUACAUAGAGAAACCCUGUCUAGAAAAAAACAAACAAACAAAAAAAAACCAAAACCCAGCUUCCAGUUCACUGUCCUUAUUUAGUCGUUUUUCUUAUAAUUCCACGUAGAACAAUCAAUCCACUUUCGGGAGCCGUGGUACCCACUAUAAAAGGAGGAAGAUGGAGAUUAGGGUCCCAGAGCCCUUUGAGUUUCUGACUCCUAUGAAUUUGGAAGGUUGAGAAAUCUAAGAAAAUUGCCCGAAGUCCCAAGCUGGCAAGAGACAAGGCUGGGACACUUUCCACUAAUGGCAGGUAAUUUCACAGGCCGGAAAAACCACUCCAGCCUAAUCAGCGGUUGAGCAUAUUGAGAACGUGAGAAAGCAGUGGGCAGAAGAGUGGAAUAGGGAUGACACUAGACCUGUGUACACGCCCUCUUCUGGUGGCAUGGAAAGGACCCCUGGAAGAGAGAGG